rnacentral:rRNA from 1 species
GCGAGUGAAGCGGCAACAGCUCAAAUUUGAAAUCUGGCCUUCUGGUCCGAAUUGUAAUUUGUAGAGGAUGAUUUUGGUGCGGUACCUUCCGAGUUCCUUGGAACAGGACGCCUUAGAGGGUGAGAGCCCCGUACGGUUGGAUGCCUAGCCUUUGUAAAUCUCCUUCGACGAGUCGAGUAGUUUGGGAAUGCUGCUCUAAAUGGGAGGUAAAUUUCUUCUAAAGCUAAAUAUUGGCCAGAGACCGAUAGCGCACAAGUAGAGUGAUCGAAAGAUGAAAAGCACUUUGAAAAGAGGGUUAAAUAGCACGUGAAAUUGUUGAAAGGGAAGGAUUUAUGACCAGACUUUUUCUAGGCGGAUCAUCCGGUGUUCUCACCGGUGCACUUUGUCUAGUUUAGGCCAGCAUCGAUUUUCGGCAGCGGAUAAAAGCUUCAGGAAUGUGGCUCCUCCGGGAGUGUUAUAGCCUGUUGUAUAAUACGCCGCUGGGGAUCGAGGUACGCGCUUCUGCAAGGAUGCUGGCGUAAUGGUUAUCAAUCACCCGUCUUGAAACACGGACCAAGGAGUCGAACAUUUAUGCGAGUGUUUGGGUGUUAAACCCUCACGCGUAAUGAAAGUGAACGGAGGUGAGAGCCCUUACGGGUGCAUCAUCGACCGAUCCUGAUGUUUUCGGAUGGAUUUGAGUAAGAGCAUAACUGUUCGGACCCGAAAGAUGGUGAACUAUGCGUGGAUAGGGUGAAGCCAGAGGAAACUCUGGUGGAGGCUCGCAGCGGUUCUGACGUGCAAAUCGAUCGUCAAAUCUGCGCAUGGGGGCG